rnacentral:rRNA from 1 species
AACGAACGCUGGCGGCGCGUUUUAAGCAUGCAAGUCGGACGGGAACUGGAGUGCUUGCACUCUGGGGAGAGUGGCGAACGGGUGAGUAACACGUAGGUGAUUUAUCCUUGGAUGGGGGAUAGCCCAUGGAAACGUGGGGUAAUACCGCAUGAGGUCUUAUACUUUAGGGUAUGGGAUGAAAGUUUCAACUGGAACGUCUGGGGAUGAGCCUGCGGCUCAUUAGCUAGUUGGUAGGGUAAAGGCCUACCAAGGCGACGAUGGGUAGCCGGCCUGAGAGGGUGGACGGCCACACUGGGACUGAGACACGGCCCAGACUCCUACGGGAGGCAGCAGCUAAGAAUCUUCCGCAAUGGGCGAAAGCCUGACGGAGCGACGCCGCGUGAGUGAAGAAGGCCGAGAGGUUGUAAAGCUCUUUUCUUGGUGAAGAAUAAGGUUAGGAGUGGAAAGUCUAACUGAUGACGUUAGCCAAGGAAUAAGCCCCGGCUAAUUACGUGCCAGCAGCCGCGGUAAUACGUAUGGGGCGAGCGUUGUUCGGAAUUAUUGGGCGUAAAGGGCGUGUAGGCGGCCUAGCAAGCCUGGUGUUAAGAUGCACAGCUUAACUGUGCAGGUGCGCUGGGAACUGUUAAGCUUGAGUCUAGGAGGGGAAGCUGGAAUUCCUGGUGUAGGGGUGAAAUCUGUAGAUAUCAGGAAGAACACCGGUGGCGAAGGCGAGCUUCUAGCCAUAGACUGACGCUGAGGCGCGAAAGCGUGGGGAGCGAACAGGAUUAGAUACCCUGGUAGUCCACGCUGUAAACGAUGUGCACUAGGUGUAGGUACCGGAGUAGGUAUCUGUGCCGCAGCAAACGCGGUAAGUGCACCGCCUGGGGAGUAUGCUCGCAAGGGUGAAACUCAAAGGAAUUGACGG